AUGAAGAACGCAGCGAAAUGCGAUAAGUAAUGUGAAUUGCAGAAUUCAGUGAAUCAUCGAAUCUUUGAACGCACCUUGCGCCCUUUGGCCAUUCCGAAGGGCAUGCCUGUUUGAGUAUCAUGAACACCUCAACUCUCAUGGCUCGCCAUGAUGAGCUUGGAUUUGGGGGUCUUGCUGGCCUGUGGUCGGCUCCUCUCAAAUGGAUCAGCUUGCCAGUGUUUGGUGGCAUCACAGGUGUGAUAACUAUCUGCGCUUGUGGUUUUCCAUCAGAUAACCUUCAGUGAUGGAGGUUCGCUGGAGCUCAUAAACGUCUCCCCUAAGCGGGGACAGCCCUUUGAAUGUUUGAUCUCAAAUCAGGUAGGACUACCCGCUGAACUUAAGCAUAUCAAAAGCGGAGGA
rnacentral:misc_RNA from 1 species